AUGUUUACACUCGGAGCUCAUUCAACCCCACGAAGCCCGCAAACACGUCCCUCUCCUUCGUCUAUCUCUUUCCCCGACCUCCCCUCGCCGCCGCCGCCACUGCCACUGUCGACACCAACCUCCAGCCACGGCGUUCCUCUCUCACCCGAGCGACGAAGGCACCCCCUUGACCUCGCCUCCGACCGUAUCGUUGUGCGUCACCGCCGCCGCUGCCACUGUCGACGCCAACCUCGAGCCACGACAUCCCUCUCUCGACCGAGCGACAAAGGCACCCCCGACGGCGGGUACACGUCGGACACGCACGAGGAUCCGAAAGACCGCAAGCACAAGAAGGAGAUGGUGGGCGAGUUGCCGCCGCAGGCCUGGUCCAGCUUCUUUCUACGCCAGCAUCGGUCACUUGCUGAUGGAGGCACGGCCGGUCACGGUGUCUACAAUGGCAGCAUGUGGAUGUGUAUGCCCCGACCCCUCCUAUACGUGCACCUCUGCAGCGAUCUAAAGCUUAUAGAGGCUAUGGUAGGAAUGUUGAGAGGUGUAAUUCCUCAAACAUAUUGGCUGGCUAUUCAAACGAAAAAAACAUGCAUGCAUCAUGACCGGCUCAAGGUGGUUGGAGGAGGACGGCGGAUCUGGGGCGGCGGCCCUUCAUGGCGCGGCGGCGGCGUCCCCCCGGCUGGCGGCAUCCGCGGGGGAUCUCGGCCGGUGUUCCCGACCAGGCAGGUGGUGGGACGGCGGCGGGUGGUGGCUGUGGCAUGGAGACCCCCCGCCAGAUCUGAGGUUCGGCUCCCCUUCCCUUUGGCUCCUCACCCUCGCCGGUUUCAGCAGCUUCGGUCGCCGGAUAGGCAUGGAUGGGUGCCUGGUGGUGUGGUUUUGGGACCGUGGGAAACCAUCGGUCGGCUGUUCCGGUCCGGCGGCAGCGACGCCCUUGGGCGCCGCCCUUCCUCGUUGGAGGUGCAGCCGAGGUCCCACCCAAUCCACCCCCGUUCCCCUCCCGGUGAAAGCCCAAAAUCCUUCUUGGAUUGGGCGGUGACAGCGCGCUGCGCGUCGUGUCCUCCUUGGAGGUGCCGCCUGGGGAGCGUGCGUUCGGGUGAGGGGCGACAAAGGUGGAGUUUUGGGUGGCUAUGGUUCUCAGGUGGCUAUGGGGAGGUCCGGCUCGCCCUCGUCGCUCUGCGACCUCUCCUGAUGUCCUUGCUGCUCGUUCUUCAGUGGCUGCUCCCGGUGGCUUUCCCGCUGUCUUUCAGGGGUCCUUGGUUGCGCCGGUCCUCGUCGUGUUCAUGUUGGUCGCAAUCCUUGGUUCUUGGUUGCUGCGGUCUGCGGCGUGUACUAGCUUGGGCUUUCUCUUCUUUAUGUUGUGAGCUUGUAUACUGCGUUGAGUUAAACUCCAGUGGUAUGCAGGGCCAUGGCACGCUCUAUCUUGGCCAGCUCGGCCACGAUGAUCUCCUGGCGAAGGCGGUCCUUCUGGAGCUGCCACAGCAGCGCGUCCCUCAUCACCAGCAUCGGGUCUCCUGCGUGCAUCAGCAGCAUUGUGCGGCCAUUAGAUGUGUCAGCGUGACAAGAAUUCUACACCAGCGCGUCCCUUUGCACAACCGCUCUACAACAUAUGAUCUGUCGGUGGAAGAGUUGUACUACUACAUUUGCAAGUGUUUUUUAUUCUUUUGGCGUUUCGCGCUAACUGGGCCGCUGUCUAAGCGGCUCCUACUCCGAGAGAAAAAACGGUGGCCUCUGGUUAAUCGGGCCUGUUUACACUCGGAGCUCAUUCAACCCCACGAAGCCCGCAAACACGUCCCUCUCCUUCGUCUAUCUCUUUCCCCGACCUCCCCUCGCCGCCGCCGCCACUGCCACUGUCGACGCCAACCUCCAGCCACGGCGUUCCUCUCUCACCCGAGCGACGAAGGCACCCCCUUGACCUCGCCUCCGACCGUAUCGUUGUGCGUCACCGCCGCCGCUGCCACUGUCGACGCCAACCUCGAGCCACGACAUCCCUCUCUCGACCGAGCGACAAAGGCACCCCCGACGGCGGGUACACGUCGGACACGCACGAGGAUCCGAAAGACCGCAAGCACAAGAAGGAGAUGGUGGGCGAGUUGCCGCCGCAGGCCUGGUCCAGCUUCUUUCUACGCCGGGUUUGAACUUCUCGGUUGCCCCGUUGCUGGAUCCUACCUCGGUCGAGCCCCCGGCAAGCAAGGAGGACGGCGGAUCUGGGGCGGCGGCCCUUCAUGGCGCGGCGGCGGCGUCCCCCCGGCUGGCGGCAUCCGCGGGGGAUCUCGGCCGGUGUUCCCGACCAGGCAGGUGGUGGGACGGCGGCGGGUGGUGGCUGUGGCGUGGAGACCCCCCGCCAGAUCUGAGGUUCGGCUCCCCUUCCCUUUGGCUCCUCACCCUCGCCGGUUUCAGCAGCUUCGGUCGCCGGAUAGGCGUGGAUGGGUGCCUGGUGGUGUGGUUUUGGGACCGUGGGAAACCAUCGGUCGGCUGUUCCGGUCCGGCGGCAGCGACGCCCUUGGGCGCCGCCCUUCCUCAUUGAAGGUGCAGCCGAGGUCCCACCCAAUCCACCCCCGUUCCCCUCCCGGUGAAAGCCCAAAAUCCUUCUUGGAUUGGGCGGUGACAGCGUGCUGCGCGUCGUGUCCUCCUUGGAGGUGCCGCCUGGGGAGCGUGCGUUCGGGUGAGGGGCGACAAAGGUGGAGUUUUGGGCGGCUAUGGUUCUCAGGUGGCUAUGGGGAGGUCCGGCUCGCCCUCGUCGCUCUGCGACCUCUCCUGAUGUCCUUGCUGCUCGUUCUUCAGUGGCUGCUCCCGGUGGCUUUCCCGCUGUCUUUCAGGGGUCCUUGGUUGCGCCGGUCCUCGUCGUGUUCAUGUUGGUCGCAAUCCUUGGUUCUUGGUUGCUGCGGUCUGCGGCGUGUACUAGCUUGGGCUUUCUCUUCUUUAUGUUGUGAGCUUGUAUACUGCGUUGAGUUUGGCUGCUCCCGGUGGCUUUCCCGCUGUCUUUCAGGGGUCCUUGGUUGCGCCGGUGUGUCAUACGAGGUGUGCUUAUGUCCUAGGAGGUCCUCGUCGUGUUCAUGUUGGUCGCAAUCCUUGGUUCUUGGUUGCUGCGGUCUGCGGCGUGUACUAGCUUGGGCUUUCUCUUCUUUAUGUUGUGAGCUUGUAUACUGCGUUGAGUUAAACUCCAGUGGUAUGCAGGGCCAUGGCACGCUCUAUCUUGGCCAGCUCGGCCACGAUGAUCUCCUGGCGAAGGCGGUCCUUCUGGAGCUGCCACAGCAGCGCGUCCCUCAUCACCAGCAUCGGGUCUCCUGCGUGCAUCAGCAGCAUUGUGCGGCCAUUAGAUGUGUCAGCGUGACAAGAAUUCUACACCAGCGCGUCCCUUUGCACAACCGCUCUACAACAUAUGAUCUGUCGGUGGAAGAGUUGUACUACUACAUUUGCAAGUGUUUUUUAUUCUUUUGGCGAAUUCCAGCUUAUAGAGGCUAUGGUAGGAAUGUUGAGAGGUGUAAUUCCUCAAGCAUAUUGGCUGGUCACCCGAGCCUAAUUGACAAAUUAUUCAACCUGUUCAUGGAUCAGGCAAAAUAUUCCAUUCAUAAUAAAUCGCCGCCCCCCCUGCCUCCUCCCCCCCUCGUCGCCACCCGAGGAGGCCGCCAGCAAGCCUGCGCGGUCGCCGGUGAAGGUGGCGGCGAGGCCCUGCUCGCUCCGUUCCUGGAGGAGGACGGCGGAUCUGGGGCGGCGGCCCUUCAUGGCGCGGCGGCGGCGUCCCCCCGGCUGGCGGCAUCCGCGGGGGAUCUCGGCCGGUGUUCCCGACCAGGCAGGUGGUGGGACGGCGGCGGGUGGUGGCUAAACUCCAGUGGUAUGCAGGGCCAUGGCACGCUCUAUCUUGGCCAGCUCGGCCACGAUGAUCUCCUGGCGAAGGCGGUCCUUCUGGAGCUGCCACAGCAGCGCGUCCCUCAUCACCAGCAUCGGGUCUCCUGCGUGCAUCAGCAGCAUUGUGCGGCCAUUAGAUGUGUCAGCGUGACAAGAAUUCUACACCAGCGCGUCCCUUUGCACAACCGCUCUACAACAUAUGAUCUGUCGGUGGAAGAGUUGUACUACUACAUUUGCAAGUGUUUUUUAUUCUUUUGGCGGUGGCGGCGAGGCCCUGCUCGCUCCGUUCCUGGAGGAGGACGGCGGAUCUGGGGCGGCGGCCCUUCAUGGCGCGGCGGCGGCGUCCCCCCGGCUGGCGGCAUCCGCGGGGGAUCUCGGCCGGUGUUCCCGACCAGGCAGGUGGUGGGACGGCGGCGGGUGGUGGCUGUGGCGUGGAGACCCCCCGCCAGAUCUGAGGUUCGGCUCCCCUUCCCUUUGGCUCCUCACCCUCGCCGGUUUCAGCAGCUUCGGUCGCCGGAUAGGCGUGGAUGGGUGCCUGGUGGUGUGGUUUUGGGACCGUGGGAAACCAUCGGUCGGCUGUUCCGGUCCGGCGGCAGCGACGCCCUUGGGCGCCGCCCUUCCUCAUUGAAGGUGCAGCCGAGGUCCCACCCAAUCCACCCCCGUUCCCCUCCCGGUGAAAGCCCAAAAUCCUUCUUGGAUUGGGCGGUGACAGCGUGCUGCGCGUCGUGUCCUCCUUGGAGGUGCCGCCUGGGGAGCGUGCGUUCGGGUGAGGGGCGACAAAGGUGGAGUUUUGGGCGGCUAUGGUUCUCAGGUGGCUAUGGGGAGGUCCGGCUCGCCCUCGUCGCUCUGCGACCUCUCCUGAUGUCCUUGCUGCUCGUUCUUCAGUGGCUGCUCCCGGUGGCUUUCCCGCUGUCUUUCAGGGGUCCUUGGUUGCGCCGGUCCUCGUCGUGUUCAUGUUGGUCGCAAUCCUUGGUUCUUGGUUGCUGCGGUCUGCGGCGUGUACUAGCUUGGGCUUUCUCUUCUUUAUGUUGUGAGCUUGUAUACUGCGUUGAGUUAAACUCCAGUGGUAUGCAGGGCCAUGGCACGCUCUAUCUUGGCCAGCUCGGCCACGAUGAUCUCCUGGCGAAGGCGGUCCUUCUGGAGCUGCCACAGCAGCGCGUCCCUCAUCACCAGCAUCGGGUCUCCUGCGUGCAUCAGCAGCAUUGUGCGGCCAUUAGAUGUGUCAGCGUGACAAGAAUUCUACACCAGCGCGUCCCUUUGCACAACCGCUCUACAACAUAUGAUCUGUCGGUGGAAGAGUUGUACUACUACAUUUGCAAGUGUUUUUUAUUCUUUUGGCGACAGCGAGGAGAAGGUAAGAGUGACAGUGACUCGACGGUUACCGUGCGGCGGAGGGUCAGGGAAGCGUUGGCCGUCGCCGGCGUCGUCGGUGGCUCGGCCACGGCGGGAGAACUCCAUCGGUCGGGUCCUCGGGUUCCGGUGGUAGCAGAGCAGCGACGGCGAGAGGGAGAAGAACCUGAGGCCGGGCCGCCGGAGUUGGUGGGGGACGAGAAGAGCAGGGGCCGGGCGCGCGAGGAAAAGCAGCGUGAAAAAGCAAAUUAG
rnacentral:rRNA from 1 species